UACGAAGGGGGCAAGCGUUGUUCGGAAUUACUGGGCGUAAAGGGUGCGUAGGCGGCGCGGUAAGUCGGGUGUGAAAUCUCGGGGCUUAACUCCGAAACUGCAUUCGAUACUGCCGUGCUUGAGGACUGGAGAGGAGACUGGAAUUUACGGUGUAGCGGUGAAAUGCGUAGAUAUCGUAAGGAAGACCAGUGGCGAAGGCGGGUCUCUGGACAGUUCCUGACGCUGAGGCACGAAAGCCAGGGGAGCAAACGGG
rnacentral:rRNA from 1 species